rnacentral:tRNA from 1 species
ACUUUUAAUGGACAAAAGCGGUCCAAUGGCCUUAGGAGCUACAACUCU